CCUUGGCUCCCUGUGCAUCAGUCAACUCUCCCUCACUGCGCGCCAGCAGGACUCCACAUCCCAUCAUUUGAGGAAGGAACUAUGGAAACUGCACCCUGUGGACUCGAAGGACUCGCAACUCUCGCCAAACACGCGAAAUUGAAUAAGAUGCUUGCAGAUGAAUCUGUCAGAUCCUUUGACGGGCGAUUCCUCUGAGCCACCGAUGACGACGAGACAUUUGGUAAGAGGCGGCACCAGCUGAGCAUGACUUCAAUCUAAUUCUGUGCCAGCUUCAGUAAAAGUCUCAGGGCCCAAACGAUUCUGUCCAGUGGUCAGAGAAGAAACAGGGGAAAUGUCAUGGCGCCGGCGGCUACUUAGAAGAAUCAACAGAAAUGCUUAUUUCCUGCAAAGUAA
ensembl:lncRNA